AAGCGCUUACAACCAGACUUGCACGUAGUUGAUCAUCCGGGGUUCUCCCCGGUGCACUUGGCUACGUUCAGGCCAGCAUCGGUUUUGGUGGUUGGAUAAAGGCCUAGGGAAUGUGGCUCUC
rnacentral:rRNA from 1 species